UACGUAGGGCGCAAGCGUUAUCCGGAAUUAUUGGGCGUAAAGAGCUCGUAGGCGGUUGUCGCGUCUGCCGUGAAAGUCCGGGGCUCAACUCCGGAUCUGCGGUGGGUACGGGCAGACUAGAGUGAUGUAGGGGAGACUGGAAUUCCUGGUGUAGCGGUGAAAUGCGCAGAUAUCAGGAGGAACACCGAUGGCGAAGGCAGGUCUCUGGGCAUUAACUGACGCUGAGGAGCGAAAGCGUGGGGAGCGAACAGG
rnacentral:rRNA from 1 species